rnacentral:rRNA from 1 species
AUUGAACGCUGGCGGCAUGCUUUACACAUGCAAGUCGAACGGUAACAGGCCGCAAGGUGCUGACGAGUGGCGAACGGGUGAGUAAUGCAUCGGAACGUGCCCAGUCGUGGGGGAUAACGCAGCGAAAGCUGUGCUAAUACCGCAUACGAUCUGUGGAUGAAAGCGGGGGACCGUAAGGCCUCGCGCGAUUGGAGCGGCCGAUGUCAGAUUAGGUAGUUGGUGGGGUAAAGGCUCACCAAGCCGACGAUCUGUAGCUGGUCUGAGAGGACGACCAGCCAGACUGGGACGGAGACACGGCCCAGACUCCGACGGGAGGCAGCAGUGGGGAAGUGUGGACAAUGGGCGCAAGCCUGAUCCAGCAAUGCCGCGUGCAGGAAGAAGGCCUUCGGGUUGUAAGCUGCUUUUGUACGGAGCGAAAAGGCUCCCUCUAAUACAGGGGGCUCAUGACGGUACCGUAAGAAUAAGCACCGGCUAACUACGUGCCAGCCGCCACUGUAAGAC